rnacentral:rRNA from 1 species
CAGUCGCCGCGGGAAUACGGAGGGUGCAAGCGUUAUCCGGAUUUAUUGGGUUUAAAGGGUCCGUAGGCGGACUUAUAAGUCAGUGGUGAAAGCCUGUCGCUUAACGAUAGAACUGCCAUUGAUACUGUAAGUCUUGAGUAUAUUUGAGGUAGCUGGAAUAAGUAGUGUAGCGGUGAAAUGCAUAGAUAUUACUUAGAACACCAAUUGCGAAGGCAGGUUACCAAGAUAUAACUGACGCUGAGGGACGAAAGCGUGGGUAGCGAACAGGAUUAGAUACCCGUGUAGUCCCUGUCUCUUAUAC